rnacentral:lncRNA from 1 species
GGGAGAAGUGGUAACUGUUCAAAAUGGAAUAAUUUGAGAGGAAUUUUCGAGGAGAAAUCUUCACAAAGCAACUCCAACACUACAGGUUUGAAACAAUUUCACUAUAGUAUCAACUUUUACAUUUUCUUUCAUCAUGGGAAAAAGAUCACUACAAUAAACUUGCAAGAACACCAUAUAGUGUACAUUAAGACAGCCCAGCUGGAAGAAAGCAGUGUAAACAAAUGGAAAAUAUGAGAGAUGGUGUAUGUGUACUCGAAAGACAGGAAAGAAAAGGCCAAACUUUCCACCUCGAAAUAAUGCCCUUCAUAAUUAAAACUGGAUUUUAGCCUACACUACUGGGCACAGUGGGAGACAGAAAGGU